GAAAAAUUAUCUAGCGAAUAACGAUUGUGUUCUAAGAGCAUUGAGGACCCAGUAAAAAAUCAAAAUGAUAAAGUCAUACCAAAUAGGACUACGAUAAUCUGUGUCUAGAACUAGAAAAUUCUUUGUAUUUUGCCUAAUUCAAAGUUUUUUAAACAGUGUUUAUAAAAAAAAUAUCAUUGAUAUUUCAUGCCAAUAAAGAAAUAUAAGCCAACAUUGUGCCAACAAUAUGCCAACGUAUUAGGUACUUAUCUCCCCCCUUUAUAC
rnacentral:lncRNA from 1 species